rnacentral:lncRNA from 1 species
AUGUCCAUUCAGUUAAAUGAGUCUAAAUUCAGAUAUGUGAUAGAUGCGAUCUUGCGUGUGUCUCUCAUGUCUUCCCUGCUGUCCUCUCCUCUCUGGAGUCGGACAGGUUCAGUCUUCAUCUGUUUUAUCCUCCACAGUGCUUCUGUUGUGAAGAUUUCAGAUUCAAACCCGCCUACAGAAAUCAGAUUCCUGCACCUUCUUAAGGGUGGGUGUCUGAACAGCACGUUGAUGUGGAGCUGUUUACCGUCACAAAGCUUCUGGUUUCCUUCGAUCCUGCACUGA